AUAGUCCGGCUAUAUAAAAGCGCUUGUCCUCCUCCACGUAGAUCUUUCCAGUCGCAUGUUGAAGUUGGAGAAGGAUCAUGUCUAGCCACUCUCCUGAUUACAACAGGCUGCAAUGUCAUCGCCCACGCAUGGGCAAGACUGCCAUGUUUGCCAUCUCUAUCCUGCAGAAUUGAACCCAGGCUCUGGUGCUGGCCCCCACCACAGAGCUGGCUCAGCAGGUAUGCUGUGCCUGAGGUCUGGAUAAACGUACAUGUUUAUCAGACCGAGGCGGCAUAUUUGGACAAUCUACAACUCAAAAGAUCCAGAAGGGGCUUCUGGCUCUGGGGGACUACAUGGGGGCGGCCUGCCAUUCCUAAGUUGGGCACUAAUGUCCGCAAAGAAAUGCAGAAGCUGCAGACCGGGUCCCCCCGCAUAGUGGUACGAACUCCAGGCUGGAUGUUUGAUGCUUAACAGGUGACGCCUGUAAGUACUCAUCGUGUGGUCCUCCUGUCGGCCACCAUGCCUACUAAUGUGCUGGAGGUGACCAAGAAGUUCAUGCGAGAGCCCAUUGGCAUUCUGGUGAAAUAAAAGGAAUUUCCCUAGAGGGUAUUAAGCAGUACUACAUCAAUGUAGAGAGGAGUGGAAGUUGGACACAUUGUGCAACCUGUACGGGAUGCCAACAGUCACUCCGGCAGGCAUCUUCCUCAACACCAGGAGGAUCUGCUGGCUGACCGAGAAGAUGCACUCGAGGGGCUUCACGAUCUGCUCUGCAUGGUGACAUGGACCAGAAGGAGAGGGAUGUCAUCACAGGGGAGUUCAGGUCUGGCUCAAGCAGAGUACUCAUCGCUAUGGACUUAUUGGCUCUGAAUUGAUGUGCAGCAGGUUCCUUGGUCACCUUCCUACUAAGAGGGAGAAUAAUAUUCGCAGAAUUUGUCGUGGUGGCUGUUUUGGCAGGAAAGGUGUGGCUGUAAACUGAGCGAGGAGGAGAAGUGUAUUCUUUGGGACAUCAAGACGUUUCACAAUACAACAGUGGAUGAGAUGCCUUUGAAUGUGGCUGACCUGAUUUGAA